GCACUGAACGUCCACUUGAAGCCAAUCUGAUAUAAUCUGGGCAACCGAUAUUUGUGAUCGCACAAGCUCGAGGCGUGUAAUCCUUCUCAAAGCACAGGCGAAUUUGCAUUAACGAACCAUGCUCGCACUCUACUAAAGGUGUUGCCCCUACAGCCUUCUCGACCAUCGAGAUUAUAUUCUUCAGAGGGUAUUUCACAGUAUUUGAACCAUGAUAACCCGCACUGUUGAAAAUAUGCUCAAGAUUAUAUUUGGAGUAGAGCUCAAGU
rnacentral:misc_RNA from 1 species